AGCUCCAAUAGCGUAUACUAAAGUUGUUGCAGUUAAAAAGCUCGUAGUCGAAUGAAGGUUUUUUGGUAGCGCGGCCUCCAAGGUGUAACCUCGGUAGGCUGCGCACCAAAACCUCCCUUGUGUGAUACGCUCUCCUGGUAAUCAAGAGAAUCCGGUCACAUGCAUUACUGUGAACAAAAUAGAGUGUUCAUGGCAGGCCAAUUAGGCUUGGAUACCUCAGCAUGGAAUAAUAGAAUAGGACUUUCGGUUCUAUUUUGUUGGUUUUUGGAGCCGAAGUAAUGAUUAAUAGGGAUAGUUGGGGGCACUCGUACUCCGUUGUCAGAGGUGAAAUUCUUGGAUUGACGGAAGACGAACAACUGCGAAAGCAUCUGCCAAGGAUGUUUUCA
rnacentral:rRNA from 1 species